CCUACGGGGUGCUGCAGUGGGGAAUAUUGGACAAUGGGCGAAAGCCUGAUCCAGCCAUGCCGCGUGUGUGAAGAAGGCCUUCGGGUUGUAAAGCACUUUCAGUGGGAAGAAAGCCUUGGGGCUAAUACCCUCGAGGAAGGACAUCACCCACAGAAGAAGCACCGGCUAACUCCGUGCCAGCAGCCGCGGUAAUACGGAGGGGGCGAGCGUUAAUCGGAAUUACUGGGCGUAAAGCGCGCGUAGGCGGUCUGAUAAGCCGGUUGUGAAAGCCCCGGGCUCAACCUGGGAACGGCAUCCGGAACUGUCAGGCUAGAGUGCAGGAGAGGAAGGUAGAAUUCCCGGUGUAGCGGUGAAAUGCGUAGAGAUCGGGAGGAAUACCAGUGGCGAAGGCGGCCUUCUGGACUGACACUGACGCUGAGGUGCGAAAGCGUGGGUAGCAAACAGGAUUAGAUACCCGAGUAGUC
rnacentral:rRNA from 1 species